GACGAACGCUGGCGGCGUGCCUAACACAUGCAAGUCGAACGGAGUAAAGACUUCGGUUUUUACUUAGUGGCGAACGGGUGAGUAACGCGUGAGAAACCUGCCUUUCAGUGGGGGACAACAGUUGGAAACGACUGCUAAUACCGCAUAAUGUUAUUUGGGGGCAUCCCUGAAUAACCAAAGAUUUAUUGCUGAAAGAUGGUCUCGCGUCUGAUUAGCUAGUUGGUGAGGUAACGGCUCACCAAGGCGACGAUCAGUAGCCGGUCUGAGAGGAUGAACGGCCACAUUGGGACUGAGAUACGGCCCAGACUCCUACGGGAGGCAGCAGUGGGGAAUAUUGGGCAAUGGGGGAAACCCUGACCCAGCAACGCCGCGCGAAGGAAGAAGGCCUUCGGGUUGUAAACUUCUUUUACCAGGGACGAACAAAUGACGGUACCUGGAGAAAAAGCAACGGCUAACUACGUGCCAGCCGCCGCAGUAAUAC
rnacentral:rRNA from 1 species